GACGAACGCUGGCGGCGUGCUUAACACAUGCAAGUCGAACGGAAAGGCCCCUUUGGGGGUACUCGAGUGGCGAACGGGUGAGUAACACGUGAGUAACCUGCCCUUGACUUCGGGAUAACUUCAGGAAACUGGGGCUAAUACCGGAUAGGAAUCCUUUCUGCAUGGUGGGGGUUGGAAAGCUUCGGCGGUUUUGGAUGGACUCUCUGCUUAUCUGCUUGUUGGUGGGGUAGUGGCUUACCAAGGCUUUGACUGGUAGCCGGCCUGAGUGGGCGACCGGCCAAAUUGGGACUGAGAUAAGGCGAAGACACCUAAGGGAGGCAGAAGGGGGGAAUAAUGAAAAAUGGGCGGAAGCCUGAUGCAGCAACGCCGCGGGCGGGAUGACGGCCUUCGGGUUGUAAAACGCUUUCAGAAGGGGAGAAGCUUGUGGUGACGGUAACUGAAGAAGAAGCACCGGCUAACUACGUG
rnacentral:rRNA from 1 species